rnacentral:rRNA from 1 species
AAUCAACGCUGGCGGCGUGCCUCAGACAUGCAAGUCGAACGAUUAAAGCUCUCUUCGGAGAGUGUAUAGAGUGGCGCACGGGUGAGUAACACGUAAGUAAUCUACCUUUGAGUGGGGAAUAACGUCCGGAAACGGACGCUAAUACCGCAUAAUGCAGCGGCAUCGCAAGAUGACAGUUGUUAAAGAUUUAUCGCUUGAAGAGGAGCUUGCGGCAGAUUAGCUAGUUGGUAAGGUAAUGGCUUACCAAGGCUACGAUCUGUAACCGGUCUAAGAGGACGGUCGGUCACACUGACACUGAAUAACGGGUCAGACUCCUACGGGAGGCAGCAGUCGGGAAUUUUGGGCAAUGGGCGAAAGCCUGACCCAGCAACGCCGCGUGAAGGAUGAAGUAUUUCGGUAUGUAAACUUCGAAAGAAUGGGAAGAAUAAAUGACGGUACCAUUUAUAAGGUCCGGCUAACUACGUGCCAGCAGCCGCGGUAAG